AACGUACCAUAGUUUUGGUAUUUCUUUGAGAAGUUAUAUAGAAGGCUUCACAAUGGCGACGUAUUUCAUUGUUUUCAGAUGUCCCACAUGCCUGGAAAGGAAAUAGCAGAGGGUUUUCAGUGCUGGAAAUAGGUAGUGGUAUUAAUCUAUUCACUCACACUCCAGUUGGAAUGAUCGUAUUGCAUGACUGAAGCAUGGUUUUCUCUUCUCUACUUGUAACAUUCAGAAUCUAAAAUAAUAUCACCUGAACACACGGUGAGUAUGUGUAGAGCAAAGCGAGGAGAGAAACACAAACCAAAAGGACUCUACGUGUUGCAAUGCUAUGCAAACAGAUACCUUGUAGAUUGCAUGCUCAUGCUAGCCAGAAUAGCCUCAUAUAUGCCAGCCUUCUUCCAGGCAAACAUUGUUUGAUAUAUUAACUUUCUAUACUUGCUCUUUGGGAUUCAGUACAUUAUUGAAUAUACAUCAGUUCAUUCUGCGCUUUUACAAAUGUAGUUUUGGAAAAUCACACACAAACUAUUCAGUUUCUUAGUCCUCAUCAACCGAAUGCAGUUCUGUAAGCUAACCGGAUCAGCUAAUGUUUUCUUUAAGUUCAUUUUUGAGUGCCGACAGAGCAUAACCCUUGAAGAUAUGGAGGCGCCAAACCUGUGCCGACCCCCUCUUGGUGAUGCCUCUAACGGAGCCCCUCUUGGUGACAUCUCUAAUGUUGAUCAUCAUUCCCGAAUGACUCCAGUGCCAAUGCCAGCCUCACUCGACCUUACCCUGUAUGGAUCUCACUGCGAAAGGGUAAAUCUUGCUAGCAACACCAACAUAGCAAGGAAAAAGAAAUGACCAAUACGAAAAAUGCCAGUCGAUGCCAUCUUAGCGGCAUCUCCACUAUCGAUUAACUCCCCAAAUGGAGUCCAGGAAAUAUCGCAGACCGCGACAUCUGACCAUAACAUGCCAGAUAAGGUUCAUUAUGACGGGGAACAUAACAGGACCUCAUCAACAGAAAGAAGGGGCAUUCUAAACGCGCGGAGAAGAGCAACUUGUAAGGAGCAAAAAGAAAAGGAAAGUACAUCACUCCCAGCCUGACGGACAAACGUAUUUAUGAACAUGAUGCAUUGACGGGACGGUUAAAAAUCACAAAGGGUAAAUGUGUCCCCAGUUUUGUCUCAUUACAUACUUGAUAAAUCGCUUCUUCUUAAAGUUGUUACUGCUGCUGCUGAUGGAUCCACUUAAUGAAUUAAACUAACCAUUUGUUUUGGAUUGUACAUGAGCUACCAUUGUGGUACAUCUACUAAUAUAUUUUUUGGUAGUUUUGUUUGUAUGUGAACGUUCUAUACAUGCCAUAUACUAUGAAAGAACAGUAUGUACAUGCCGUAUAUUUGUUU